GAUGGAGUGGCUGAAGUGUUAGGCAAUAAAUUGUAAAUUUAUUCAUGAUUUAAUAAUCCUUCAUCA
rnacentral:tRNA from 1 species